GACGAACGCUGGCGGCGUGCUUAACACAUGCAAGUCGAACGGAAAGGCCCUGCUUUUGUGGGGUGCUCGAGUGGCGAACGGGUGAGUAACACGUGAGUAACCUGCCCUUGACUUUGGGAUAACUUCAGGAAACUGGGGCUAAUACCGGAUAGGAGCUCCUGCUGCAUGGUGGGGGUUGGAAAGUUUCGGCGGUUGGGGAUGGACUCGCGGCUUAUCAGCUUGUUGGUGGGGUAGUGGCUUACCAAGGCUUUGACGGGUAGCCGGCCUGAGAGGGUGACCGGCAACAAUGGGACUGAGAUACGGCCCAGACUCCUACGGGAGGCAGCAGUGGGGAAUAUUGCACAAUGGGCGGAAGCCGGAUGCAGCAACGCCGCGUGCGGGAUGAAGGCCUUCGGGUUGUAAACCGCUUUCGCCUGUGACGAAGCGUGAGUGACGGUAAUGGGUAAAGAAGCACCGGCUAACUACGUG
rnacentral:rRNA from 1 species